rnacentral:rRNA from 1 species
CAGAGGGUGCAAGCGUUGUUCGGAAUUACUGGGCGUAAAGCGCGCGCAGGCGGAUCCUGUAAGUCGGAAGUGAAAUUUCGGAGCUCAACUCCGAAGCUGCUUCUGAUACUGCGGAUCUGGAGAUCGGUAGAGGUCGGUAGAAUUACAGGUGUAGCGGUGGAAUGCGUAGAUAUCUGUAAGAAUACCCGUGGCGAAGGCGGCCGACUGGGCCGGAUCUGACGCUGAGGCGCGAAAGCGUGGGGAGCAAACAGGAUUAGAUACCCUGGUAGUCCACGCCGUAAACGAUGGGCACUAGGUGCCGGGGGGAGCGACCCCUUCGGUGCCGCAGCUAACGCGAUAAGUGCCCCACCUGGGGAGUACGGCCGCAAGGCUG